rnacentral:rRNA from 1 species
UGUUUUAGUUGUGAUUUGGAGAGGCAGCUUCGGAGGAUGUGUGGCCUAGGUUCCUUGGAACAGGACGGCCCAGGGGGGGGGAAUCCCCUGCUUGGGUGGUGNNUCUCCUUCAUGUGAGGUGUGUUGAAGAAAUCUAGUUUGAUGGNGGUNCGGCUGAAAAGGGGGGGUAAACUCCAUCUAGGGCUGAAUAUUGGCGAGAGACCGAUAGCGCACAAGUAGAGUGAUCGAAAGAUGAAAAGCACUUUGAAAAGAGAGUUAAACAGUACGUGAAAUUGUUGAAAGGGAAGCGCUUGAGACCAGACUCGGUGAUAGGUGAUCAGCGGUUGCUUUUGCUCCGUGCACUUGCCUUUUACCGGGCCAGCAUCAGUUGUGACGGUGGGAUAAAGACUCAGGGAAUGUGGCUCUCUUCGGGGAGUGUUAUAGCCCUGGGUGCAAUGCCACCUGUUGCGACUGAGGACCGCGCUUCGGCUAGGAUGCUGGCAUAAUGGUCUUCAGCGACCCGUCUU